GACGAACGCUGGCGGCGUGCUUAACACAUGCAAGUCGAACGGAAAGGCCCUGCUCUUGUGGGGUGCUCGAGUGGCGAACGGGUGAGUAACACGUGUGUAAACUGUACCUGACUUUGGGAUAACUCCAGGAAACAGGGGCUAUUAUCGGAUAGGAGAUAUUGCUGCGUGGUGGGGGUUGGUAAGUUUCGGCGGUUGGGGAUGGUCUCGCGGCUUAUCCGCUUCUUGGUGGGGUAGUGGCUUACAAAGGUUUCGACGGGUAGCCGGCCUGAGAGGGUGGCCGGGCACAUUAGGACUGAGGUACGGCCCAGAAUCCAACGGGAGGCAGCAGGGGAGAAUAUUACACAGCGAGCGGGAGCGUGAUGCGGCAGCGCCGCGUGCGGGAUGACCUCCUUCGGGUUGUAAACCGCUUUCGCCUGUGACGAGGCGUGAGUGACGGUAAUGGGUAAAGAAGCACCGGCUAACUACGUG
rnacentral:rRNA from 1 species